ensembl:lncRNA
CGCCGCGGAACUUCUACUUCCGCGUCACGCACCAGCGUUUAAGAGAGCGUGGCCUCUGCCGUAUGGAGACGACCCGCCCCGCGGUGCUCUCAAACCUUCUGAUUUUUAUCCCGUGAUAAAUAAUUGAUCCCCGCCGGAGCCGAGGAGAAACGGGUCGCACUAGUACCCGCACGACAGCUUCUUCACACGAGCAGGGGUGCUCUGCUUCUCUGAGGCAGAGGGACCCCAGCAGCAGGCUCUUCCAGCACUGGCACAGAUGCAGAUGCAGCAGAGGGCGCCCACCACCUUUCUGCCACCGUUUCUGCUCAAGAGGAUGGUCAAGAGGCCAGAGAGCCAGUGGAGAAAUUCUGAAGUUCUGAGCCAGACCUUCCCCUCACCCCAAGAAGGUGGAAGGGAAUCCGUACACACAUAACGUAGCUCGUCUGCAAGCCUUCUGUGCCAAAUAUCGCCUGCCUGGCUCCCCUCUUACCUGUGCACCAGUGAAAGUGACCAAGCACACUCUUACACUCCGCACUGAUGGAUAUGUUUGCUUUAGCCAAUCAGCAAAGGGAUUUUGCUGGCAUGCAUGUUUUAUUCAUUGUUAUCCCCUGUGUAUAUAUAGCAUUAUGUAUUCAACAUUUAUCUUUAUCGCACAGCACAAUUUUCUAUUUUUUUAAUUAUUUAGUUUUUAAGAUUUUCUGUGUUCUGCAUCACAACUGUGCAUGUAUUAAACACCUGUAGGUCCAUAUAUUGUCUUAUAGUAUAUACAUGUGUAAGAUUGGUCCAUAGUCUAUGGGGAGUUGUGUAAAAAACAACUCAUUUUAUUAUUACCAAAGUAUUGUUUAGUGUGUUUUUUUUUACGUCAUUGGCCAAUUCUUUAACAUGUUUUCUAAUAUUCUGAGGCUUUUAUUGUUGCAGUGCCAUUUCUUUGCGUUCUUUGACAUGACUUGCAUCUCAGGAAUGUUUAAAUAACCGCAAUCCAGGAGACUCAGGACAUUGUAUAAUUUCCAAAGAAGGGAGUAUCAUUUCCAGAGAAUUUCAAUAUCCACUCCUUAACCCUAAUUCAACAUCACGUGUAUUACAUUGUUGAUCAUGAAUUUACAAUUUUAACUAAUGUGUAUCUCCUGCAUUAUCUUUCAUCGUUGACUGGAUUAUCAUGUUAUGAAACGACCCACCAGUUUAUAUUUACAUUAUAAUCAUUGAUGUUGCAAUAAAUGUAAGCAUCACACCAACACUGCUUUUAUUUUUAGUUCAAGUUUAACUUAAAUGGUCACAGUUUUGUGUGUGUGUGUG